GUGCCACUGGCCCAAUGGAUAAGGCGUGUGCCUACGGAGCAUGAGAUUCUAGGUUCGAGUCCUGGGUGGCACG
rfam:Tritrichomonas foetus strain K scaffold_289, whole genome shotgun sequence.